rnacentral:rRNA from 1 species
GAAGGGCUCGAGCGUUAAUCGGGAAUCAUUGGGCUUAAAGCGUACGCAGGCGGACGCGCAGGCAUCUUGUGAAAUCCCUCGGGCUCAACCGAGGAACUGCUUGGUGAACCGCGUGUCUUGAGGCAAGUAGGGGCUGUCGGAACGCUAGGUGGAGUGGUGAAAUGCGUUGAUAUCUAGCGGAACGCCGAAGGAGAAAUCAGGCAGCUGGGCUUGUUCUGACGCUGAGGUACGAAAGCGUGGGGAGCGAACGGGAUUAGAUACCCCGGUAGUCCACGCCGUAAACGAUGUGCACUAGAUCGAGGAGGUUCUGACACCGUUCUCGGUCGAAGCGAAAGUGUUAAGUGCACCGCCUGGGGAGUACGGUCGCAAAGGCUA